GGGUAAGCAGGUUCACAUGUGCUGAAGUGUUCCUGUAGUUAUCCGCUGCAAUCCUCUUUCUUGUUUAUGCCUUCGAAAGCAUCGUCUAGUCCAUCCAGCAGAGCUGUCGUCCUCCUCACGACAGUGAGCAACAGGCAAUCAUCACAGCCUGAACACCAUCACACACUGAAUCGUGAUGCGAGCCAAUACAAGCCCAGAAACCCCAAGUGGCUGCAGCCUAGAGUGAAGCCCAAGCCACAAUGGAAACCAUGUGUGUUGGACCAGAAACACUCAGAAAGGCGUCCCGUCAACACCCAGUGAAGGCCAAAUAGCCCGCCCAUGUAGCACAGAUGACCAGGAAGAGGAGCCCAAACUAAUCUCCCUUUUUUAGUAAAGUAACUAGUGUAUAUGUAGUGAUAAGCUGGGUUAGCUGCUGCUGAUUUUCAGAGGGUUUCCUGAGUUCCUGCAGUGACCUGUAAGUCUGUGUUUAUUGCAGUCCUGCCUGAGGGCUUCAACACCUUCAGCAUUCAGAGUCUGCAGCCUGGUCCUUUGUGCACUGGGAUUUCUCUGGAUUCUCUGAAGAUGAAUGGGUUAACUUAAAACCUGCCUGAGGUACUUUUUAUGUCCAGUAGAGGGAGAUGUUGGUUCUGCAUGAAUGUGAGCAGAAGCUACUCUUCCAAAGUGUCCUGCAAACUCAAGUUUUUAAAGAUAAUGUUAGUGGUGGCAAAUGUUAACUGGGUGUCAGUUUUAUAUUGUUGGAUUGUCAUUUAUGCUUAGAAAUAUAUAUUUAUAUAUAUUUAGAAAUUUAUAAUCAUUUAGAAGUAUAUAAUCAUUUGUAGAUUGAAAGAAUGUCUCAUCCUAGGGGGUCUGUAACAAGUCUGUGUAGUGUGAAGAGGGGAGUGCGUUCACUCCUCUUCAGAGUGUUCUGGCUUGGAUCACACACCUCUUAGGAUCGUGAGAGAGGUCGUAUCUUCUCUUGCUGAUAUAUGGUAUAUCAACCCACACACACACACACACACACACACACACACAUACCUACACUAUGCACAGACUGAUACUCUUUGGUCACAUGUAUAUCUAUGUAAGACAUCAUAUGUUAAUGAACUCAUGCAUAUUCAUGUAACCUCAAUAAAAGAGCAGUGUUACGAGGGAGCAGACGAGAGCAACUGGGGUCAAGCGAAGGAUUGGCGCUCAUCCAGUUCUCUCCCUCG